rnacentral:rRNA from 1 species
AUCGCUUAWAUGUCAAAGCUUUAUGUGCUGAAAGAUGGYCUCGCGUCUGAUUASAUAKUUGGUGGGGUAACGGCCCACCAAGUCGACRAUSARUARCCGGUCUGASAGGAUGAACGGCSACAUUGRGACUGAGAUACCGCCCACACUCCUACSGGAGGCAKCARUGGGGAAUAUUGGGCAAUGGGGGAAACCCUGACCCARCAACGCCGCGUGAAGGAAGAAGGCCUUCGGGUUGUAAACUUCUUUUAGCAGGGACGAAGGACGUGACGGUACCUGCAGAAAAAGCAACGGCUAACUACGUGCCAGCAGCCGCGGUAAUACGUAGGUUGCAAGCGUUGUCCGGAUUUACUGGGUGUAAAGGGCGUGUAGGCGGAGAUGCAAGUUGGGAGUGAAAUCCCGGGGCUCAACCCCGGAACUGCUUUCAAAACUGCAUCCCUUGAGUGUCGGAGAGGCAAGCGGAAUUCCUAGUGUAGCGGUGAAAUGCGUAGAUAUUAGGAGGAACACCAGUGGCGAAGGCGGCUUGCUGGACGAUAACUGACGCUGAGGCGCGAAAGCGUGGGGAGCAAACAGGAUUAGAUACCCUGGUAGUCCACGCUGUAAACGAUGAAUACUAGGUGUGGGAGGACUGACCCCUUCCGUGCCGCAGUUAACACAAUAAGUAUUCCACCUGGGGAGUACGACCGCAAGGUUGAAACUCAAAGGAAUUGACGGGGGCCCGCACAAGCAGUGGAUUAUGUGGUUUAAUUCGACGCAACGCGAAGAACCUUACCAGGACUUGACAUCCAACUAACGAAGCAGAGAUGCAUUAGGUACCCUUCGGGGAAAGUUGAGACAGGUGGUGCAUGGUUGUCGUCAGCUCGUGUCGUGAGAUGUUGGGUUAAGUCCCGCAACGAGCGCAACCCCUAUUGUUAGUUGCUACGCAAGAGCACUCUAGCGAGACUGCCGUUGACAAAACGGAGGAAGGCGGGGACGACGUCAAAUCAUCAUGCCCCUUAUGUCCUGGGCUACACACGUAAUACAAUGGCCAUCAACAAAGGGAAGCAAUACCGCGAGGUGGAGCAAAUCCCCAAAAAUGGUCUCAGUUCGGAUUGCAGGCUGCAA